UACGUAGGGAGCAAGCGUUGUCCGGAUUCACUGGGUGUAAAGGGUGCGCAGGCGGAUCUGUAAGUCAGGGGUGAAAUCUCACAGCUUAACUGUGAAACUGCCCUUGAUACUGCAGAUCUUGAGUUCGGGAGAGGUUGAUGGAAUUCCAGGUGUAGCGGUGAAAUGCGUAGAUAUCUGGAAGAACACCAGUGGCGAAGGCGGUCAACUGGCCCGUAACUGACGCUCAGGCACGAAAGCGUGGGUAGCGAACAGG
rnacentral:rRNA from 1 species